GCGUGAGUGAUGAAGGCCCUAGGGUUGUAAAGCUCUUUCGCCUGGGAAGAUAAUGACGGUACCAGGUAAAGAAGCCCCGGCUAACUUCGUGCCAGCAGCCGCGGUAAUACGAAGGGGGCUAGCGUUGUUCGGAAUUACUGGGCGUAAAGCGCACGUAGGCGGGUCAUUAAGUCAGGGGUGAAAUCCCAAGGCUCAACCUUGGAACUGCCUUUGAUACUGAUGAUCUUGAGUCCGAGAGAGGUGAGUGGAACUCCGAGUGUAGAGGUGAAAUUCGU
rnacentral:rRNA from 1 species